GCUGUUAAAAUUCUGAAUAGUUUUCUAGGAAGGGGCAUGGAUUCUUCUCCUAGGGAGAGCCUAGGCAUACAGGUAGGCAAUUCACAGGAAACCACAGCUUCUAGAGAAAUAACUAAAAAGAAGUAAAAACAGUCAUUUCCAGAAACCUUAGAAGUUAACUUUGUUUCUUCCCUCAAUUUUGAAGAUGCUAUUCUUUUUAAAAGAGGAAUUACUGUAGGAGGAUUGAGAAACUGUCUCUCCAAUACCAGUUGGUCCAAAAGAAGCUAAUUCCUCUAUUAGCUUUCUGAGCAAUUCUGGCUUCAUCCUUUCAGUUUGGAGGAUUUAUAUCUCGUGAAGGCAGUAAUAGGUAAUAAACUG